rnacentral:rRNA from 1 species
UGCCAGCAGCCGCGGUAAGACGUAGGGAGCGAGCGUUGUCCGGAUUCAUUGGGCGUAAAGAGCGCGCAGGCGGUUCGGAAAGUCGGAUGUGAAAACUCGGAGCUCAACUCCGAGCGUGCAUCCGAAACUUCCGGACUAGAGGUAGGUAGGGGAGAUCGGAAUUCCUGGUGUAGCGGUGAAAUGCGCAGAUAUCAGGAGGAACACCGGUGGCGAAGGCGGAUCUCUGGGCCUUACCUGACGCUCAGGCGCGAAAGCUAGGGGAGCGAACAGGAUUAGAUACCCUGGUAGUCCUAGCCGUAAACGUUGGGUGCUAGGUGUGGGCGGAUAUCGACCCCGUCCGUGCCGAAGCUAACGCAUUAAGCACCCCGCCUGGGGAGUACGGCCGCAAGGCUAAAACUCAAAGGAAUUGACGGGGGCCCGCACA